AGGGAAAUAUGGGAAAUAAGAGUAUUUUUGUCAAGCAGUUUUUUUUUUGCCAAUCUAGAUCAACAAGGACUUUUUGUUUUGCAGCGCACAAGCCAGUGAACUCCCUAGUCUGAACAUGUGAACUCUUUAUAAAAGUGCAUAUGAACUUCUGUCAUGCAUUAAAAUAUGGGAAACAAUUAUGUUGGUGAGGAAGUUUUUGCCAAUCUAG
rnacentral:lncRNA from 1 species